GAUGAACGCUAGCGACAGGCUUAACACAUGCAAGUCGAGGGGCAGCGGGGCAGGAAGCUUGCUUUCUGCCGCCGGCGACCGGCGCACGGGUGAGUAACACGUAUGCAACCUGGCCGUGACAGAUGGAUAACCGGGAGAAAUCCCGCCUAAUACAGCAUGACGCCGGGAAGGGACAUCCCUUUCCGGCCAAAGGGGGCGACUCCGGUCACGGAUGGGCAUGCGGCGCAUUAGGUAGUUGGUGGGGCAACGGCCCACCAAGCCGACGAUGCGUAGGGGUUCUGAGAGGAAGGUCCCCCACAUUGGAACUGAGACACGGUCCAA
rnacentral:rRNA from 1 species